rnacentral:rRNA from 1 species
UGGGGAAUAUUGCACAAUGGGCGCAAGCCUGAUGCAGCCAUGCCGCGUGUGUGAAGAAGGCCUUCGGGUUGUAAAGCACUUUCAGCGAGGAGGAAGGUGGUGAGCUUAAUACGCUCAUCAAUUGACGUUACUCGCAGAAGAAGCACCGGCUAACUCCGUGCCAGCAGCCGCGGUAAUACGGAGGGUGCAAGCGUUAAUCGGAAUUACUGGGCGUAAAGCGCACGCAGGCGGUUUGUUAAGUCAGAUGUGAAAUCCCCCGGGCUCAACCUGGGAACUGCAUUUGAAACUGGCAAGCUAGAGUCUCGUAGAGGGGGGCUAGAAUUCCAGGUGUAGCGGUGAAAUGCGUAGAGAUCUGGAGGAAUACCGGUGGCGAAGGCGGCCCCCCUGGACGAAGACUGACGCUCAGGUGCGAAAGCGUGGGGCAGCAAACAGGAUUAGAUACCCUGGUAGUCCACGCUGUAAACGAUGUCGAUUUGGAGGUUGUGCCCUUGAGGCGUGGCUUCCGGAGCUAACGCGUUAAAGUCGACCGCCCUGGGGGAG